GCAUAUCAAUAAGCGGAGGAAAAGAAACUAACAAGGAUUCCCCUAGUAACGGCGAGUGAAGCGGGAAGAGCUCAAAUUUGAAAUCUUAAAGGGUUUCCCUUUACGAAUUGUAGUUUAAAGAAGUGUUUUCUGUUGAGGUUUUGGUAAAAGUUCUUUGGAAUAGGACAUCAUAGAGGGUGAGAAUCCCGUAUUUGACCUUUACUUUCAACUUUGUGAUACACUUUCAAAGAGUCGGAUUGUUUGGGAAUGCAGUCCAAAAUGGGUGGUAAAUUUCAUCUAAAGCUAAAUAUUGGCGAGAGACCGAUAGCGAACAAGUACCGUGAGGGAAAGAUGAAAAGAACUUUGAAAAGAGAGUUAAACAGUACGUGAAAUUGUCAAAAGGGAAGCGUUUGACACCAGUGUUGUUUUUCUGAAAAUCAAUUAAAGAACUGUUUAUGCUAAGCUGUUUAGACUUUAUCAGCUAUCUGUUUAGUUUUGAGCUUUUCUUUAAUGCACUUUUCAGUUAACAAGUCAACAUCAAUUUCUUUUGCUGUAAAAAAGCUUGAGGAAGGUGGCUUGAGAUUCGUCUUAAGUGUUUAUAGCCUCUUGCCUAUGCAGUCGGAGAGAUUGAGGUCUGCAGCGUAGAUCCUUCGGGGCUAAAUGCAUUUGUGCUAAGUUAUAGCAUUUUAUAGACAACUUGUUGACUAUGAUUUGUCUUGUAGCUUACUCGCUUAUGUUAUUUUACCUACGCUUAGGAUGUUGACAAAAUGGUUUUAAACGACCCGUCUUGAAACACGGACCA
rnacentral:rRNA from 1 species